CCUGGCCUCAAGCCAUCCUCCCACCUCAGCCUCCCAAAGUGCUGGGAUUACAUGCAUGAGCCACCACAUCCAGCCUCCCUAAAAUAUUGAAUGCUGUUAAUAAAUCUCCUAAGAAGGUGAUGGGCAAAACUAAUGCAGUAGGAGCUGAAAUCGACCAGGGGGUUCUUAUCCAACAGACAGCAGCAAAACUCUUUGUGUAUCUGCGUUCCUUUCAACAAGUGUGACUUCCUCAAUGGCAUCAUUUGUGAGCGUAACACAGAGCUCAGCAAUAACGUUUCUUCACUAACCCUACCAGGGUUUCAGUUGUGCAAUUUCACCAUUAGCAAAGCUUUUUGCUGAAAUCUGGAUUUUCAAAGGGAGAGUAUCCAGAAACAGAAGAUGCUGAUCUGGGAGGCUCUUCCUAAUAGAACUGCUGCUUCAGUUUAGCUUGAAAAAGCCCACACUCAGUUCCUAAUGACAAACAUCUGAACACCAGGUCUUCCCACGAGCAAGACCAUGCUAUUCCUCCUGCUCGCUCUGUUCUAUAAGCAACCCACAGAUUGCUCCCUGUGAAGAGGAGCCUGCCAGGGAGCAGCAUUCCACCAGAUCCUGAUUUAGCAAGAUAUUUCCGUAUCAUUCCCCCAACCAGCUGGAAGUCCUCCACUGUUCUUGUGUAAAAAUCUAACUCAUCUCGCUGAAUUUCCUGAUUUAAAAGUCUAAUUCAUUUCACCAAAAGUGUGACAGAAGGAAACCAAGUACACCAUCUCUCUCUUACCAAACCAAAGCUAUUGCAUGUGCAUUCUGGGAGAAAAAAAUGGUCCAAAUAUGUUAUGGAGGGGGUGCCAGCCCAGUGUCAUCCUCUUACUAUUGCCAUAGGAUCUUGGCUGAUGGCAUCAGAAGAAAAACAAGUUUAUCGAUUACUUUCAACCAUUAAGCUCACUCCUCCAUGAAAAAUAAGUCACAAGUCCAAUGUCUCUUAUUAAAAUAAGCACUGCAAAAUAUAAAGGACUCACAGUUUUAAAAUGGGACACACGUUCUCUAAGCGGUGAACCACUUUAGAGGUGUACUGUUUACAUUGUAUAAAGUCCCCUGGAGCCAGGGUUAGGAAGCGCAUCUGUUCUUUGGUGUUCUGGGAUGAAGGAGAAAGGAAAAUGUGCUGCCAGAAGUGAGUGGGAAGGAGCCCAUGAGAUAAAGGAAGUAAAUCCAUUUGCUGAUUGCAAUAAUAAUGGUAAUACACGAAGCUAUACAUACAUACAUACAUACAUACAUACAUACAUGCAAACUUUCACAUUUUUUAAAAAAAGAACUUAAGGCUUCCACACAUGUAAUCAGCCCUUAUGAACUCUCCUGAUUAGCUGCAAGGAAAAUCUUCCUUUCUCCUUUUUCCUGCACCAUCCUGGGCUCCCUUUUGACUUUUUUUUUUUUUUUUUUUUUUUAACUUAUAAACGAUCAGCUCAUAUUCCGAAGUUUGUAGUCCCCUCCCGUCCCCUCUCUCUCUAUACCGCUCAUUUACAUUGGCAGCUGUCGUGCUGCUGGGCAUCCUCAAACCCACCAGUUUCCCUUUUAUGUUUGAGCAGACAAACAUGAUCAUGCACUAGGCAUCACUGUGCCACUCAAAAUGCUUUGUUUUUUUAUUGCAUCUGAGAGAAAUCUCAAGGUUGCAAACCUGGAGUCAGAAUUGUCUCCAUGUGUCUCAGUGGGAAGAGUAUCGUGUGAAGAAAUAAGUUGAUUCUACUAAUCAAAAGGAAUUUUUUUUGAUAUCAGGUCAUCCUCCGAAUGAAUUUAUAUUACCGAGUGGAGGGUCACAUGAAGAAAAUGGUCAAACAGCACCACCUACAGCAAGAGCUGAGAAGUGCAGCGGAGCCGGGCUGAGUCAGGAAAGAAAAGCAAGCUGGGGCCUGGCUCAGAGCUCUCCCCUCUGCUCCUGUCUGCACGGAAAGAUUAGGAUGACAGUGGCAGGAAGCCUGUGCACCUAGUAUGCAUCACUUGAAGGGAACACACAGAUUCCAGUAAACAGUUGGAAGGAAAUGUUAAUACCAGGCUCUGCUAAACAAUAUGAAAUGACUCCUAGAUGAGACAAGUGACUUUCAUCAAAGUUUCCUGAUACCUGAAAAGAUAGCCCAGGUGAUCCUGCACUACAUCUGCUGUAUGUAAAUUAAGCGGGUUUUUUUCCCCUUUGUAAUCAAGGCUCAUACACAAACAAAAUCACACUUUAGAAACGGCUUAUUUCAACUUGUAACUAGCUUGCUUUCAGGGGCUCCAGGUCAAAAAGAAAUAGAGCACAAAGACGCUUUCUCCUUAGGGAUCAUACACAAAUUCACUCUGUCCGUUUCUUUCCCACAUGGAGCAACAAAGCCAUCAGACCUCUCCAUCCACCCAUCGGGUCCUUCCUGAUUAAAGUGAGAUAAAUCACAGCCCUCUCUCUCCAGAUGGCAGGCGACAAGAGGGGGAUGCUUGCCUCAAGAAGUCCUCCCCAUCCCUCUGCAUUCAUGCAAGCCCGAGCGGAGAGAUGCAAGAAAUUAUGGAUGCAUUUUAAUUGCCCAGACCCUGCAAUUAAAAAUGGAAAUUUUUUGGCCACGCGUGUUGGCUCACGCCUGUAAUCCCAG
rnacentral:lncRNA from 1 species